rnacentral:rRNA from 1 species
CCUACGGGCGGCAGCAGUGAGGAAUAUUGGUCAAUGGACGAGAGUCUGAACCAGCCAAGUAGCGUGAAGGAUGACUGCCCUAUGGGUUGUAAACUUCUUUUAUAUGGGAAUAAAACGUUCCACGUGUGGGAUUUUGUAUGUACCAUAUGAAUAAGGAUCGGCUAACUCCGUGCCAGCAGCCGCGGUAAUACGGAGGAUCCGAGCGUUAUCCGGAUUUAUUGGGUUUAAAGGGAGCGUAGGUGGAUUGUUAAGUCAGUUGUGAAAGUUUGCGGCUCAACCGUAAAAUUGCAGUUGAAACUGGCAGUCUUGAGUAAAGUAGAGGUGGGCGGAAUUGGUGGUGUAGCGGUGAAAUGCUUAGAUAUCACGAAGAACUCCGAUUGCGAAGGCAGUUCACUGGACUGCAACUGACACUGAGGCUCGAAAGUGUGGGUAUCAAACAGGAUUAGAUACCCCGGUAGUC